rnacentral:rRNA from 1 species
AUGGAGGAUCUCCCAGAGCCACUGCUUGCAGAGAUCGUCAAGAGGAUUACCCAGACAAGUGAUCUUAAUUCUCUUUCCCUUGUGUCGAAGCAGCUCUGCAUCGUCGAGGCGGAGCACAGGUAUGCUAUCCGCAUUGGCCGUGGACUCAAUCCUUCAACAGAAGCCUUGGUAUCUCUCUUCUCCCAGUUCCCCAAUUUGGCGAAAGUAGAGAUCGAUUACUCUGGGUGGAAGUCUACUGACGUGGAGCAGUUGAACAACCAAGGCCUCUAUGUGCUAUCAUCUCACUGCCCCUCGUUGUCUGAUCUUGCUUUAAGCUUCUGCUCAUACAUCGACGACACUGGUCUUGGUUAUCUAUCUGACUGCAAAAAUUGA